rnacentral:rRNA from 1 species
GAAUCUGGGAGGACCAUCUCCUAAGGCUAAAUACUCUCUAGUGACCGAUAGUGAACCAGUACCGUGAGGGAAAGGUGAAAAGUACCCCGGAAGGGGAGUGAAAGAGAACUUGAAACCGUGUGCUUACAAGUAGUCAGAGCCCGUUAAUGGGUGAUGGCGUGCCUUUUGUAGAAUGAACCGGCGAGUUACGAUCUGAUGCAAGGUUAAGCAGAAAAUGUGGAGCCGUAGCGAAAGCGAGUCUGAAUAGGGCGAAUGAGUAUUUGGUCGUAGACCCGAAACCAGGUGAUCUACCCUUGGUCAGGUUGAAGUUCAGGUAACACUGAAUGGAGGACCGAACCGACUUACGUUGAAAAGUGAGCGGAUGAACUGAGGGUAGCGGAGAAAUUCCAAUCGAACUUGGAGAUAGCUGGUUCUCUCCGAAAUAGCUUUAGGGCUAGCCUCAAGUGAUGAUUAUUGGAGGUAGAGCACUGUUUGGACGAGGGGCCCCUCUCGGGUUACCGAAUUCAGACAAACUCCGAAUGCCAAAUAAUUUAACUUGGGAGUCAGAAUGUGGGUGAUAAGGUCCAUAUUCGAAAGGGAAACAGCCCAGACCACCAGCUAAGGUCCCAAAAUAUAUGUUAAGUGGAAAAGGAUGUGGCGUUGCCCAGACAACUAGGAUGUUGGCUUAGAAGCAGCCAUCAUUUAAAGAGUGCGUAAUAGCUCACUAGUCGAGUGACACUGCGCCGAAAAUGUACCGGGGCUAAACAUAUUACCGAAGCUGUGGAUUGUCCUUUGGACAAUGGUAGGAGAGCGUUCUAAGGGCGUUGAAGCAUGAUCGCAAGGACAUGUGGAGCGCUUAGAAGUGAGAAUGCCGGUGUGAGUAGCGAAAGACGGGUGAGAAUCCCGUCCACCGAUUGACUAAGGUUUCCAGAGGAAGGCUCGUCCGCUCUGGGUUAGUCGGGUCCUAAGCUGAGGCCGACAGGCGUAGGCGAUGGAUAACAGGUUGAUAUUCCUGUACCACCAUUAUUCGUUUUAAGCGAUGGGGGGACGCAGUAGGAUAGGCGAAGCGUGCUGUUGGAGUGCACGUCCAAGCAGUGAGAUUGAGUGUUAGGCAAAUCCGGCACUCUUAAGAUUGAGCUGUGAUGGGGAGAGGAACUUGUUCCUCGAGUCGUUGAUUUCACACUGCCGAGAAAAGCCUCUAGCUAGAAUAACGGUGCCCGUACCGCAAACCGACACAGGUAGUCAAGAUGAGAAUUCUAAGGUGAGCGAGCGAACUCUCGUUAAGGAACUCGGCAAAAUGACCCCGUAACUUCGGGAGAAGGGGUGCUCUUUGAGGUUCACGCUUCGAAGAGCCGCAGUGAAUAGGCCCAAGCGACUGUUUAUCAAAAACACAGGUCUCUGCUAAACCGUAAGGUGACGUAUAGGGGCUGACGCCUGCCCGGUGCUGGAAGGUUAAGAGGAGUGGUUAGCGCAAGCGAAGCUACGAAUCGAAGCCCCAGUAAACGGCGGCCGUAACUAUAACGGUCCUAAGGUAGCGAAAUUCCUUGUCGGGUAAGUUCCGACCCGCACGAAAGGCGUAACGAUUUGGGCACUGUCUCAACGAGAGACUCGGUGAAAUCAUAGUACCGGUGAAGAUGCCGGUUACCCGCGACAGGACGGAAAGACCCCGUGGAGCUUUACUGUAGCCUGAUAUUGAAAUUCGGUACAGUUUGUACAGGAUAGGUAGGAGCCUUAGAAGCGUGAGCGCUAGCUUACGUGGAGGCAUUGGUGGGAUACUACCCUAAUUGUAUUGGAUUUCUAACCCGCAGCACUUAUCGUGCUGGGAGACAGUGUCAGGCGGGCAGUUUGACUGGGGCGGUCGCCUCCUAAAGAGUAACGGAGGCGCUCAAAGGUUCCCUCAGAAUGGUUGGAAAUCAUUCAUAGAGUGUAAAGGCAUAAGGGAGCUUGACUGCGAGACCUACAAGUCGAGCAGGGUCGAAAGACGGACUUAGUGAUCCGGUGGUUCCGCAUGGAAGGGCCAUCGCUCAACGGAUAAAAGCUACCCCGGGGAUAACAGGCUUAUCUCCCCCAAGAGUUCACAUCGACGGGGAGGUUUGGCACCUCGAUGUCGGCUCAUCGCAUCCUGGGGCUGUAGUCGGUCCCAAGGGU